AUGGGAGGCCAUUCGCUGCCUAGAGCCGUUCACUCCAGAACCGGAGCCCGUCCGCCGCCGCGCGCAGCCACCCACUCCCGCGACCACUCUCUCUCCAUCGCCGCCGUCGUCGCGCGGGCUCGAAGCCGCCGCCUCCUCUCCCACAGGAAAAUACAUAUGGAACAAGCUGCUGGGCCUCUUCUCCCGCGGCGGCCCGCCGGGCCCGGCCCGCAGGCUGUUCGACGCGAUGCCCGAGCGGGACGCCGUCUCCUAGAACACCUUCAUCGCGCGCCUCUACUUGCGCAUGCUGAGCGUUGCCCCGAGUCCCGACGGGACCGGGGGCUCGUCCCGCAGGCGCACGCCCACGCGGUGCGGCUCGGGCUCCGCUCGACCGCGUUCGUGGGGACGGCCCUGGCGCGCGCGUACGGGAUGCGCGGGCGCCGCCGCCGCCGCGUUCGAGGAGAUCGCCGAGCCGGACGCCGUGUGCUGGAACGUCAUGGUCGACGCGUGCGCGCGGCGCGCCGUGGAGACGCUGUCGCGGAUGCGCGGGGCUGGAGGCGUCGCCGAGUCAUGAACGGCCACUGCUUCGCCAGCGUGCUUUGUGAAUCUGCCGCCCUUGCGAGCCUUGAGCAUGGAAAGAUGGUGCAUUGCCGGGUCAUGAACCUGGGGUUUUGCUCCGAUACGGUUGUCGGGAACGCCCUAUUCGACAUGUACUUCAAGUGUGGCAGCUCAUCGGAUGCCCGGCCUGUGUUUCGCACGAUGCGGGUGCGCGACGUGGUGUCGUGGACAGCCAUGAUUCUCGGCUUCGGGCGUCACGGCGAGGCCAUGAAGGCUGUUAUGACCUUCAGAGAAAUGAUCCAUGAUGGGUUCAGGCCUGACAGCGUCACAUUCCUCGCGGUCCUUUCUGCCUGUAGACAAGGGGGUCUCGUCGAUGAAGGGCUUGCGAUCUUCCACUCCAUGGUUGAGGAUCAUGGUGUCAAGCCGCAGAGGGAGCAUUGUGCUUGCAUUGUUGAUCUGUUAGGACAUGCCGGGAGACUAAAAGAAGCAGAGGCGUUAAUCAAAGCCGUGGGGCUGGAAAUGGAUUCCUUGGCAUGGGAGUCGCUUCUAGGAGCUUGCGGGCUCGACGGCGCCAGC
rnacentral:rRNA from 1 species